rnacentral:lncRNA from 1 species
CAACGCACUCUGCCUUCUUGCGCUUGUGGUACGAGCGUCGCCAAGGGUUCCGCCAGGUCUUCCGCUUGGCCAGGGACAGGUCGGGCAGGAAGGCGGCCAGUGAGCCCUCGAUCUGGUCCGGCUUCCCGCAUAGCGCGUGCUCCGUGGAACAGUAGUACGAGCACUCCCCGUAGAAACAGAUGUUGUUGGCUGCGGGCGGAGGGGGCGGUCAGCGGGGGCCCCGCAGGCGGGGUCUGCGUGUCGGCACCAAGUCUUCGUCUUCCCUCCCUGGGCGGGGCCCGCCCACGGCCUCACCCUGGACCUCAGCCACCUGCCCCAGCCCCGGGGCCACACAGCUAGGGAUGCAGAGCUCGGAUCGGAGUCUGGGUUCUUCCUCAUCACCCUCCAAACUAGGUCUGGGGUCUGAGAUCAGCAGAGUGUCUCGCUUGGCCCCGGGGUUCUGUCGGCCCCAGCUCCACGGCCCAGGCCUCACACGCUCAGUGUCCUUAAGUGGCCGUGGGGUGGGCAGACCCCAGGAAGCCUGGGCAUCAGGGCUAGGGGCCUCUCUGGGGCUCUCCGGGGCUCCAAUGACCUCUCUGCACAGUCGCCAUGCUCUUGGGAGACAUGACGGCUCCCGCACACAGCUCUCGCCCUAUUUCAACUAUCGUUGGGCAGAAGCCUUGUCUCACUAGCCCCACCCACCUUCUUCCUGACCUGCCGCUCAAAUUAUUUUCCCACUGACGCCAUCGUGAUACCAAACCAUCUUCUGUUCUCUUUCAUGGUUUCUGUCCCUCAAAGCACACAGGCUCCACUAAGAUCAGAGCCUUUCCACGUCCUCGCCCUGGGCAGGUGCAGGGCAUGUGCCAGGGAAGGAACCACGAGCCACUGUCCAGCUUGGAGUCUGGUGUCAACAGGCGAAGAUGACAGAAGUCUCUGGAAACAGAGCGUUCGCCGCGGGAGGUCGGGGACUUCCUCUGUCGCUCAGCCGGUAAAGAGUCCGCCUGCAGCGCAGGAGACCCGGCUCCGAUCCCUGGCCAUCCACUCCAGUGCUCUUGCCUGGAGAGUCCCAGGGACGGGAGCCUGGUGGGCUACAGCCCAUGGGGUCGCAAGAGUCGGACACGACUGGAGCGACUAAACCACCGCCGCCGCCGGAGGUCAGAGAAUGGGGACCCCCGGCCGGAUCUGUCUGCCUGCUCCCUUCAUGCUUUGCUCUGAGAAGUAAUUUGGUUUAACGGACUCAUCCUCAGAAAUCAAUGGCACCCGCUCCAGUGUUCUUGACCGGAGAAUCCCAGGGCCGGGGAAGCCUGCCGGGCUACAGCUCAUAA